GAAAAAUAAACGCUGUAGCCUUCGAGAACGGUUGUUUCGGCUCCUGUUCUGUGGGCGGCUGAGGACCGCCGGCUGCCCGGCUCGGAGAAGAACAGGACGGUGUGGACCUGCGCCCCUCUUCCCCGUAGCGACCGUGUUGGAGAAACUCGCUCGGAGGACCAGUGUGCUGCGGGGGCCAAAACUCACGCUGCCCAGCCUUGAAGAGCUGGAGAACGGAGCCGGGCCCCGCCGAACCUGCGCUCGCAGAGAAUGUUAUCUUCACAGCAACUUAGCAAGCCCCACAGAACAAAAGUUAAAGCGUGAUUGCACUAUACCUUGCCCCGGGUUACUCAGGCGCCUGUCUCCCAUUUUGGACAUGCAGGAAAUGUUGGAUUUGGGGAGGUUUGAUUUGGCUGGGUUUGGUUUGUCUAUAUAAGCCCUGCUGGAGUACUGUACUGAGGAACGCGCCUUGAUGGACUCGGGUGUUAAUUAACGCGCUAAUUUGAGCUUCAGGAGCGGGAGGCGGCCGGUAGCACCGCGAGCCGCGAGGGGCCAGUGACCUCUAGUGGACAUGAGGAGAUAUGCAGCGCGAGUGAGCGUGUAGCAGAGAAAACUCUUUCCUGAGCAGCUGCUCGCGUGUCUCCUCUGAAUCCAAUGCAAGGGAGGGACACAAGUCCCCAAUUUAAGGGAGAAAGAGCCGUCAGCAAGUGGUGUCGACCAAAGACCUUAGCUCUUCUGAUGUAUCUGAAAUCUAAACGCAAUUUAAGCGCGCGUGCACACACACAUUGUUACUUAUCAGUUUUUCCAGCGAGAGAAGAACAUAUGGAAAGGGUUUGAGAAGUGAGCGUGAAUAACUUUGGUUUCUGAACCUAGAGAAAAGCAGGGCUUUCAAAGCUCCGGAGGCACCAGCGAUUCAGGGGAAGGAGUCGGAGUGUGAUUCUGUAAACAAAGUUCAUCAGUACUCCCAAGAUUUUUUUUUUUUUCUGUAAAGAAUUGAGAAAAAAAAAACGUAAAAAGCUUAGUUGGGUCAACAACAAGAAAGUAAUCGAACAAAUGAUGUGUGGAAAGGUCCAGAUGCUCCUGAGUUCACACCCCUCAGGCAAAUAAGAAGACAAAAAUAAGAACAAAAGAACCCCUUCGCUUAACAAAAAUAAAAUAAAGGCCAAGAGGAGAAAAUGA
ensembl:lncRNA MEF2C-AS2 MEF2C antisense RNA 2